ensembl:lncRNA
CAUGCCCCAAGGCCAAAACAGACUGAGAGGUCAUGAUGCAGUUAGAGGAGGAUGUUUCCUCUGGACUCCCUGUUUGCUCGAUUCUUCUCCGUUACGGUGAGACCGUAGGCAUGGAGAGCAGCCACGGGUGUGGGAACAGGUGGUUCAUGGUGAUGCCGCUAAGGAUUAAUUGGCACAAGAAGGCUAUGGAUCUUGCCUAUGGUCUCAUGGUGAGUCAGGGGAAAUUAAUCACUGAUGUACAGACUCCCUACUACUUUGUGCAUCACAAGUCCUGUGAAGUGGUCCUGGGACUAGAUCCAGGGACUGGGUCCCAUGGGGCCAAUCGGGACCUGGAGUCAAGUCUGAAGAACUUGGGUAGACAGGCCAUGCUGAGGCAGGCGUGCAGCAUUAGACUCCAGUCCAGUGCUUCCUGCUGGGCAUCGGUGAAGGAGACAUCGGAGGAGCAAACCUGCCUCCAUCAGGCCAGAGCCUCUGGCCCACCUCAGAAGCAUCACAGGGCUCCUGGUGUUGGAGGAUCUUCUCCACUUCUGCUAAGAACUGCCCUUGGACAAGGGGGCCUUAGGAAAGAGAUCAUGAUCAACCACGAACACAGACGUCAUUGGUGGUAGGUGGUAGUCAGGGAAUGCUCUACAAGAGCUCUUACUUGGUUCUUCCUCAGAUAGCCUCACUCUCCUAGCCUCUUCCCAGUGCUUAGCCAUGCCCCAAAUACCCUAAGAGACACUCUUAAGAGAGGCAAAGUUACCUGCCAGGGACCACAUAACAAAUAACCUCCCAUGUCCAUGUCCAGUACUCCCUAUCAUGCGGGUAUAACAUAGGUACCAGGCUGACCUAUUCCUUACCACUGGCAUGAACACCGUGGACCAUGAAUUUUGCUGGAAGCAGUUGCUUUUCUCCCUUGUGAAAACUGAUGGCUUCACUCUCUCUGGACACUCCACCAUGCCCCAGGGAACUCAGAAAGUACACCGAGAAUGCUAUGGCUGGAAGGAGUGCUUGCCUGAACAUCACUGCAUGUUCUGUCUUAAUGAACAACUGUGUGUCUCCAUAAUAAGUAGAGUAGAGGAGUGGGGAACCCUGGAAGACCAUGCAUCACAUGGAAGCAGAGGAAGAAGCAAAUGCAAAUUCUGCCAUGAUCUGGGACUCCAAAGUGUCAAGUCCCAGAGAAUCGCAGAUCAGGGCUGGUCUGUUUGUAACCAAACAUGUAGCCUCAUGGUUGCCACUGCUUUUGCAUGCUUUGUUCUCGUCUACUGCUCCAGACCUGUUCCCUUUCUAUGCCAAGCAGAUAGGAGGACUUUAGAAGUAUCCUCCCUAUCUCAUACAGCAUCCUGUUGGUCAGCUCUUCCCUCAUUUCCAUCAUUUGACUGCCUCCAGUGCUCCCGGGUCCAUUCAGAUGCCUUCACCAGCAAAGUCUGUCCUACUCCACCUCUGGUAGUUGUCUGUGUUCUAAAAAACCCAUGAUAUCUAAUUAAGAAACUACAGAAAGUUAUCCGGAAUGCAGGUGGUAGGUUUAGGUGCUGAGUGCGAUAUCUACCACCAAGAAAUGCCCAUCAGCCCAAAUAUAAUUACAAUGAGCAUGGCAAGUAGCAUUCAAGGAAAGUUUUAUCCAAAGGAAGUUGCUCCUAAGUAAAAAAUUAUAUCAUUAAAAUUACAUUUUCUAGGAGUACAUCCGUCAAUUAAUAUAGUGUCCAGUGUCUUAG